rnacentral:misc_RNA from 1 species
AGCAGUUAAAGGUUGUAUCUCUACAAAGAAAAAGAGCUGAGAAGGCCACUGCAGCUGUUCUGUCUAUAUUAGAGGACCAUUCAAUAGAUGAUGUUUCGGAGGAAUUCAGCUCAGGCUCUGAUAAGGAAACAAUCUUAUCUGAUCAAAAAGAUGCUGGAAAUAAAACAGGAGGGGACAUUUCGUCAAGUGCGAAAGAGAAAGAAGAUGACGUGGACAUAUUGUCAAGUUCGGG